UAGGGAAUCUUCCACAAUGGACGGAAGUCUGAUGGAGCAAUGCCGCGUGAGCGAAGAAGGUUUUCGGAUCGUAAAGCUCUGUUGUGAGGGAAGAACAAGUACGGGAGUAACUGCCCGUGCCUUGACGGUACCUCAUUAGAAAGCCACGGCUAACUACGUGCCAGCAGCCGCGGUAAUACGUAGGUGGCAAGCGUUGUCCGGAAUUAUUGGGCGUAAAGCGCGCGCAGGCGGCCUGUUAAGUCUGAUGUGAAAGCCCCCGGCUCAACCGGGGAAGGUCAUUGGAAACUGAUAGGCUUGAGUACAGAAGAGGAAAGCGGAAUUCCACGUGUAGCGGUGAAAUGCGUAGAGAUGUGGAGGAACACCAGUGGCGAAGGCGGCUUUCUGGUCUGUAACUGACGCUGAGGCGCGAAAGCGUGGGAGCACAG
rnacentral:rRNA from 1 species